GGCAGACAGAGGAGGUAAGGCCUGAGGCUGGUGAGGACAGUCCCUAGGUGGCAGGAGAAGGACAAGAAGGAGGCCCGAAGUUUGAUCCCAAGGAUGCACAUGGGGCUCACAACACUGUGCAACGUCAGUCCCAGAGGAGCCAGCGAUGUCUUCUACACUAUCCUGGGACCAAUGGUGUACUCUUCGCUAAAAUCAUGCACACAGGCAAAAUGGCUAUUGAAGGAAACUUCAUGAUUUUGAAGCGUGAGGAAGUGUUACUAAUAAUGGAGAGUGUAGUUUAUGCCUAGGAAGCUUGAAACACAGAGUACUGGAGCCCAGAACUUGAUGCCAAAUACCCACGUAGGAUGCACAGUGGCCCACAACUCCAUUUCCGGGGCACCCAAGGCACCCUUCUGCCCUAUUCUGGGACCAGGAAUGCAGUUGCUGCUUAGAACACACACUCGGGCAAAACAGC
rnacentral:lncRNA from 1 species